rnacentral:rRNA from 1 species
AUGAUGUGGAUUAAUUCGAUGCAACGCGAAAACCUUACCUACCUUGACAUGUCCGGAAUCCCGAAGAGAUUUGGGAGUGCUCGCAAGAGAACCGGAACACAGGUGCUGCAUGGCUGUCGUCAGCUCGUGUCGUGAGAUGUUGGGUUAAGUCCCGCAACGAGCGCAACCCUUGUCAUUAGUUGCCAUCAUUUGGUUGGGCACUCUAAUGAGACUGCCGGUGACAAACCGGAGGAAGGUGGGGAUGACGUCAAGUCCUCAUGGCCCUUAUGGGUAGGGCUUCACACGUCAUACAAUGGUCGGUACAGAGGGUUGCCAACCCGCGAGGGGGAGCUAAUCCCACAAAGCCGAUCGUAGUCCGGAUCGCAAUCUGCAACUCGACUGCGUGAAGUCGGAAUCGCUAGUAAUCGUGGAUCAGCAUGUCACGGUGAAUACGUUCCCGGGUCUU